rnacentral:rRNA from 1 species
CACGUAGGGUGCGAGCGUUGUCCGGAAUUAUUGGGCGUAAAGAGCUCGUAGGCGGUGUGUCGCGUCGGCCGUGAAAACCUGCAGCUUAACUGUGGGCGUGCGGGCGAUACGGGCAGACUGGAGUACUGCAGGGGAGACUGGAAUUCCUGGUGUAGCGGUGGAAUGCGCAGAUAUCAGGAGGAACACCGGUGGCGAAGGCGGGUCUCUGGGCCGAUACUGACGCUGAGGAGCGAAAGCGUGGGGAGCAAACAGG